UCAUGGGACUCACCACUCCCCUGGCUCCUGUGAGAGCAGCUGCAGGGACAGGUGAUCAGGGUUUGUCUCAUUUAGAAGCUUCGCUAUUUUCUGCUCUGUCUCGUGCUGCAUCGCUGUCAUGAUGAUUCUGUUCCUCGUGUUUGUCCCCGUGCAGGUGAUCGUGACCGUCUGUCCCAAGGCCACAGAGACUGCCUGUGGUUGACUCAGCUCAGCAGUGACCACUGAACCUGCAAGAGGAGAGGAGAAGAGAGAACAUACAGGAAGCAUCACUGGAAUGAAAGAGUAAGUUGCAGUCCUUUGAUGACACCAGACACGUGAUGUAUGAAAGGAAGAUGAAUACACUGACCUCAUCAAAACCCCUAUCUUUUGAUUUAUAAAACCUCCUCCACAGGAUAAAAGAAACAAGUAACAGGCAAGAGAACAGACUAGCAAAGACAUGUCUGAUGAACAGCUAGUGCAGAGAGGACACUAAGAAAUGUGAUCACUGAACAGUGAAGAUACAACCACUGAGGAAAGGAGACUGAGUGGAACCAACACUUGUGUGCGGAGGAUGCAGGAUGGCGGGAGCGGGAGCAAGAGCUUGUCAUCCGUCAUCUGGAAAACACCAUUGUAACCUGAGGAGAAGGUGUCCCCAUGUGCCCUCAGAUUGGCUGAUGUAGAAAAGAGGACCCCAAAUACUGGCAGGGUGAGGAGAACUGGGCCCUUACACCUGACUGAUGGGGUGAAAUUAACCACAAAACUGGAGACACCUGCAUUUCCCACACAGGCCCUUGGUGGUUCUCUCAGGUACUUAGUUCAGAUCCUGAGAAGUCACAUUUGCAGAAGGUCUAAUCACUGAUAAU